GAGGGUUACCAUGGCUUCCCGGCAUUCUGAAAGUGCUUAGCCUGAGAGACCCCACACAAUCUUCACAGUUCAGUGGUCUCUGAAUUGUCACCAUGUAACCUUCUUGCCUGUUAUCUGUUUACUCUGGGGAUGACUCAUGAUUAGUCACUAGCCCAGUAACUUUGUAACCUUUCCCCCGGAGAAUGUGUCUGGAUGUCACAGAUCUGUGCCACCUUCAGCUUUCUCUUUUCAGGGCUCAACUUGCUUCCAACAAUAUCACUAGUUUUUAUGAGUGUUAUGUGAAGCCGCAAUAGACAACAUCUCCUCAUCUGCCCUAGUGUCAGUCAGGUAUGGCUUCCUACUGAAACCCUUGUCUUCACUCCACCUGGCCCACCUUAUCAACACAGGACUUCUAAAGAGGAAAACAGCUGGAAUCUGCUUUUUGACAAUGGAGCACAGGCGUCCUAAGGGUACAAGGAGCCACAAGCCAUUUACUGUCUCCGAUGAAGAUGCUUAGUAAAUAUUUGUGGAGCAGAGGAUGAAGCACUGACUGGGAGCCCGGGAGAUAGCUCAGUCAGUACAGCCAUGAAGACAUGAAUAUAAUCCUUAGAACCCAGAAGAAAAUGCCAGGUGCAUGCUUAGAAUCCCACUGCGGGGAGGAGGAAACGGAAGAUCCCUGGGAUAGCUGGCUGGUCAGCCUAGCUUCCUCAGUGAGCCCCAGGCUCAAUGCUUCCUGUGGCAAGCUCCCAGGGGCCCCAUCUCAAGGGUGCCUCUUCCUCAUGACCACCUGUGACCUUCAAAAUGACAGCUGCCAAGGAUGCUGAAGAUGGUCAGCCUGGCUCAUCACCAACUCUGGAACUCAGCAGCUGCAUCAAUGUGGAUGGGGGAAAAAAAAAAACGUCUCGGUUACAUUGAUCUUUGCCAGUGUCUCCUUCAGCACCAUACAUUGCCACAACCACAUCUCCAGUGGUCUCUGGGAACAACAUCACUAUUUUCAGAUCGGUGACAGUUGUGUCAGGUGGUUGAAAAUGUCAUUAAACCCAUUACUGCUUCAAAAUUACAGUCAUUAU